ACUAUUUCUACCAUGACCUGUUCUAAUUUUUGAUACUGUUAGAAGCAAAUGAGAAUGGGACCGUAAUUGAUAUGUAUUUACCGAUCUGACUAAAAAAGAACAGAGAUAAAAUGGCAUUUUACCCAAUAUGGCUUUAUAAAUCAGUGUAUACCAGUGUUUAAGCCUACGCAAAUUCAAUGACGUCCAGCCAACAGCGCAUAUCCCAAAUCCGGACAUGAGCUCUUACAAAUGUUCCUUUUAUUACCCAUAUCUGGUCAAUCUAUAUCAACAUUUCCUGUUUUAUUAACCUGUUUACCACCAUGGGAAUUUUCUGUAGUUGGCAGUGUGGACAGAAAGUUAUCUGAUUUGGAGAGAUCCGUGUCAAAUCUGACUGAAUCUGUGUCCCUUCACUUAUCAAAACUACAUGAGAAAGUGGGCUGUCCUGAUGGCUGGAAUUUUCACAUCUCCAAGCUGCUACUUCUUCUCGGCUUACCGGUCUUCAUGGUACACAGCCCGAGACUCCUGUAGGUCUAUGGAUGCCACACUGCUCAUCCUGACGAAGAAGAGUGGGUCUUUGUAAACAGAAUGAGUGUUGGUCGCCCCUUUUGGCUUGGCCUGUCAGAUGAGAGGACUGGAGAGUGGGAGUGGGUCAACGGGAGUCCUUACAUCAUGAACCGGAGGCAAGUACAAUCAAGUCAUUAUGAGUUGGACAAUUUCUGUUCUCAUUGUUAUGUCUGGUGCUUGAAUAGUACAAUAACUGUAUUUUCACUGUGUGUUUGCAGUAAAUGGAUGCCAGGCCAACCUGAUAACUGGGCGGGGCAUUCUAUAGGGGGCACAGAGGACUGUGCCCAUAUCACAUCUGGGAAACUCAAUGACAACCACUGCACCGUUACCUAUACAUUCAUCUGCAAAGCCAGACCAGCACCCAACUAAUAAAGCUAAACAUUUCUAGGCUUUAUGAUUAGAAAUAUAACUAACAGCAUUGGCUUGAAUUAAGCAAGUCCUGUUUUCUAUUUGAUUGUCACGUUUGUUGAUUUUUGCAUGCCAAAUAUGUGGUUUGCUGUAUUCCUGAUCUAAUACACCCAUAUAAAAAAUAUAUAUCUUUGUAAAAAAUUGUGCUAAUGUCAAAUUAGUUUUUAUUGAGGACAUUUCAUACAAUUCAAGUGUGUUCCAAUUGCACCGAGCCUUUGCUCUGCAGACAUAAAAAAAAUGCUAAUGAAUCAUUACUUUACAUAAGGGGAUGAGACAGGGAAAU